CCAGUCCCGGUCAAUUUAGGGGGAUCGGGCAGAGGGGGUAGGGGGAGGGUAGUGGGACGAAAGGGUGGAAAAAUCCCGGUCAGGCUCGGUACCGGACCGACUGACCCCUUCUCGACCCGCCGAAAUUUUUUCUUUUUAGUUGAAUCUGACCGUUUAAAUGGGCCUUCCCAAGAAUAUGAAAGUUGGGACUCCAACGGCUGAGUCCAAAAUCAGACUGGUUGGAGUCCCCCUCCCAAAAAAAAAAAAAAAAAAAACUCACUCCCCAAAGUUUGAUAAAUUGCAUUUUAAUCCAAAUUCUAAACUAUAAAUACCUCUUCAUUCUUAUUCAUUUUCACACAAAUCAUUCAUCAAUUAUCUCUCUCUCUCUCUCUCUCUCUCUCUCUCUAAUAUUUAUUAUCAAUUAUCUCUCUCUCUAAUAUUUGUUAUCAAUUAUAUCUCUCUCUAAUAUUUGGUGAAAUAUUAUUAUUAAUAUUAUUUUGGUGAAUUGGGCAAUAUUUGAAUUUUGGAGCAACUUUCAAGCUUCAAGUAAUAGAAUUUCAAUUUCAACGUUUACGGUUACAUUUGCUUUUACGUAGAUGUUUGGGAUUGGAAAGCAUCAUUGUGGAGGACAAUGACAAUGAAGAUAUUUUAGGAUGGUGGAGGGGGCAUGACAAGUCAUUUCCAUUACUCUAAAAAAUGGCUCGAGAUAUGCUAACUAUUCAAUCAUCAUCAGUAGCUUCGGAGGCAGCUUUUAGCGCAACAAGAUUUCAACUCGGAGACCACAGACAUUCAUUUGCACAAGAUAGCUUGGAGAUUUUGUCUUAUUCAGGGAUUGGAUCAACGCAGAAAGAAGAAAUUGUGGGCUACCAAAAUUAACCCGUCAAGAAGAAGAAGAAUAUCAAGAGA